rnacentral:rRNA from 1 species
UAUAGUAGUAUUUGAGGUCCACCCGUUCCCAUUCCGAACACGGAAGUUAAGCUCACCAGUGCCGACAAUACUUGUCUGGAGACGGACCGGGAAGAUAGGUCAAUGC